rnacentral:rRNA from 1 species
UACGAAGGGUGCAAGCGUUACUCGGAAUUACUGGGCGUAAAGCGUGCGUAGGUGGUUCGUUAAGUCUGUCGUGAAAGCCCCGGGCUCAACCUGGGAAUGGCGAUGGAUACUGGCGGGCUAGAGUGCGGUAGAGGGUGGUGGAAUCCCGGUGUAGCAGUGAAAUGCGUAGAGAUCGGGAGGAACAUCAGUUGCGAAGGCGGCCACCUGGACCAGCACUGACACUGAGGCACGAAAGCGUGGGGAGCAAACAGG